UUACAAUGCUCUAUGGAUAAUAGAAAAUUAAAAAACUGUCAGUCAUCUGAUAUCACUCUGAGGCCACUCUCUCUGUGUGAGAAAAAGGAGGGGGCUGAGUCACUCUGAUGGCUCUGCCAUUGCCCUUUGAAGAAUGUGUGUGUGUUGAGAGUAUGUGUGUGACAGAGAAAGAGAGAGAGAGAGAGAGAGAGAGAGAGAGAUAUCAAGCUAUCCAGAGAGAGAGAGACUUAAACAUCUCUUUAAUCAUCAGAAAAAAAAAAAUCAGUAUUUUAAAUUGAUAUUGUUUAUGUUGUUGCUAAUGGUGUAAAUCAUAGACUGCAUAGUCUUCACUGUUUAAAACUAAAUAUAGAUUAAUCGUUUUUGAUGUUACAAAGGUUAUUUAGGUGGGGGUUUUUUUUCCAAAAAAAUCAGAAAAAAAUCAAAUGUAAAUAACAGCAUAGUCUUCACUGUUUAAAACUAAAUAUAGAUUAAUCAUUUUUGAUGUUACAAAGGUUAUUUAGUCAGAAGCAGUGAGCACUUGUAUUUUUCUUUGACAGCAUUAGAUUUAUUAUUAGUUUGCUUUCACUUUAAGAACCAAUCACGGGUUUAAUAUACACAUGCCUUUUCUUUCUGAACUGUUAACAUUAAGAAAUAUGCCUAACUGACUGUGUUUACUAGGAUAUUCCCCAAAACGCGCAUUUAGAUGUUAUUAUGUAUUUAUUGAUCCAUGCACAAAAAAGCG
ensembl:lncRNA